rnacentral:misc_RNA from 1 species
GAUGAAGAACGUAGCAAAAUGCGAUAAGUAAUGUGAAUUGCAGAAUUCAGUGAAUCAUCGAAUCUUUGAACGCACAUUGCGCCCGCUGGUAUUCCGGCGGGCAUGCCUGUUCGAGCGUCAUUUCAACCCUCAAGCCCCCGGGUUUGGUGUUGGGGAUCGGCUCUGCCCUUCUGGGCGGUGCCGCCGCCGAAAUACAUUGGCGGUCUCGCUGCAGCCUCCAUUGCGUAGUAGCUAACACCUCGCAACUGGAACGCGGCGCGGCCAUGCCGUAAAACCCCAACUUCUGAAUGUUGACCUCGGAUCAGGUAGGAAUACCCGCUGAACUUAAGCAUAUCAAUAAGCGGAGGA